GAAAUGCGAUAAGUAAUGUGAAUUGCAGAAUUCCGUGAAUCAUCGAAUCUUUGAACGCACAUUGCGCCCGCCAGUAUUCUGGCGGGCAUGCCUGUUCGAGCGUCAUUUCAACCCUCAAGCCCCCGGGCUUGGUGUUGGGGUUCGGCCCGUCCCUAGCGGCGCGCCGUCCCCGAAAUCUAGUGGCGGUCUCGCUGUAGCCUCCUCUGCGUAGUAGCUAACACCUCGCAACGGGAACGCAGCGCGGCCACGCCGUUAAACCCCCCACUUCUGAAGGUUGACCUCGGAUCAGGUAGGAAUACCCGCUGAACUUAA
rnacentral:misc_RNA from 1 species